CUAGAGCGACUCAAGUAUUGAGACGAUCUAGAAAAUACCCAGCAAAAACUUGAUUUACUAGCUGCUAAAAUAUAACGAGUUAUCAACAGGAAUACCAUCUGUGUUACUAGUAAUGCAAAUGUCAUUACAUACAACAUUCAAUGAAGCUCAAGAAUUAGCACUUAUUUCUAAUAAUAGAAAAAAAAAUCAUUAUUAUAACCUUGGUAUUGAUAAAAAAAUACCUUUAAGAAACUGCGGGCAAAGUUAUCUCAUACCCAUGAGUGCUGUCCAUUGCAAGGUUAAUCUCAAUGAUAAGGGACCUCCAUUUUAUUGACGAGUCCGAAUGACUGGCCGAAAAGGGACACCACUUAGUAGCGCUAGGAAGGAAAUACUGUGGCGUUAUUAAUAUAGCAAAAUAUUUGUAAUUUUUUCUACCUCCCCACAAAUCCGUUGAGCGUCUGCUUUGAAAACGGAAGGUUCUUGGUUCAACAUUCAGCUGCGAUGAAGCUACCACUUAGAAGGAGGAAAAAAAUUUAAAAUGUAAACCACGAACUAUUAUCGAUCGAAUUGCUAAUCAAUAGCCGCUACAGCAAAUAAAGAGUCCACUUACUCGAUUUGGUAUGACAGGGCGACAGACGACUACUCAGUUACCUAUGCCUGCCUAUUUGUGAUGGCGAAAAAUAAUUAUUACUCGAGUGACAACAAACCAACCAAAGGUGUCUUUGUUAAAGAAACAUUUAUGGAUACCUUGUGGUGUAAGUAAAAAAUCGAUUAUUGAUUCCAAUGAAAAAAUUUAAACAUAAAAUUAUACAAAAUUUUAUGAUUAUUUAAACAAUAUUGAAAUAAUAGGUAUACGUCUUCAAAGUCAUUUAAGCAUAAUGAACGCAUAAAAGUAUUAAUCAAAUAGGCAUUCAACUAAAUUUUUUUAAUUUAUUAUCCCGGAUGAAAGAGAAUUAGUAUUAACGUCUUAUUAUUGCACAGAAAAUGGAUAAAUUUGUUGUAAUCAUGUAUAAAUGACUUUAAUUGGUUGUGAAUGUAUUCCUGUGGAUUCCAUUAAUUCCCUUGUAAGUGGAAAAAUAUGAUAACCAUUAGAACUAGAUGGCGCUACCGAAUAUCUUAUAAUGUUAGAAAAAGUUAGACAAAUUUUUAAAUGGUUUU